rnacentral:lncRNA from 11 species
GGCCAAGCCGAUGGCUGCGUAGGACUUCCUCUGUGCCGGCCGAGUGGAGAGAGAAAAAAAGGCAAAAAUGAACAUUUAAAGACAGAUUAAAGGAACCGAAAGCAUUCAGAGGGGAAAGAUAAAGAAACAGCUGAUCUAACGAGCCAAAAAAAUCUGUGAAUAAGGUUCAGUGAUAUUACUUCCACCUCUUCCUCCUCCUGCUGAGAAUAUUCUUGCUUUGGAGAACUUGACAGACCUCAUGCUCAGCUGGGGGAGAACUGGGAUGCCUAUCAGGUGGAU